UACGUAGGGCGCGAGCGUUGUCCGGAUUUAUUGGGCGUAAAGAGCUCGUAGGCGGCUUGUCACGUCGAUUGUGAAAGCCCGAGGCUUAACCUCGGGUCUGCAGUCGAUACGGGCUAGCUAGAGUGUGGUAGGGGAGAUCGGAAUUCCUGGUGUAGCGGUGAAAUGCGCAGAUAUCAGGAGGAACACCGGUGGCGAAAGCGGCGCGCUGGAUCCCUACUGACGCUGAGGCACGAAAGCCAGGGGAGCAAACGGG
rnacentral:rRNA from 1 species